UAGAAGGGAAGGAAUAAGAUAUUCUGAUGACCAGAAAGCUAAACUCUAAAUAAGGACUAUGUUUUUUUGGUUAUGAGAAAGUUUGGUGAUAUAUGGAUGCUUCUAACCUUCUUCUCCCUGCACAGUAUAUUUGAAUUAGAUAUAGUAACCAAAAUGAUGUAUGAGAGUAAUUGAGGGGACAUCAAUCAAGAAAAUUUAAAUUGUCACAGAUUCAUCAACAUUUUCUCAAGAUGGUUUAAAGAUUCAGACACCAACUUGAUGGAAAAUUAGUUUUGACUGCAUCAAAUUGCUGAUCAACAAUCAAGUGAACUCUACAAGUUCAUCAGGGGAGAGAUGAUACUUAUUGGCAUCUGCACGAAAAUUGGUGCAGGAAAUGAUGACUACAGCUGAUGAGUAUAUGCAACAAAAUUAAAUGCUUAGAUACACCUACUUCAUUGGAACUUCACGGCAUUUUCCCCCACAAUAAACUAACGUCAGUCACGGCAUCAACCUGAAGACAAUUGCAUUGAAAUGGGCGAACGGAGCAAUUUAAAUAGGCACAAUGUAUCGAAUGCGACUGAACGUAUCAUUAUGUGUUAGCUGAGACGGGCAGGCUUCUUCGCGAGGCUGAAGUGGACCAAAGGCCACGUUGGGCACAGUCCGACGCACACUCCUAUGGCAUGCUCGCUCACGGACACGUGCGACUCCAAGUCGUACACGUGUGGAUCUGGGUCGACCUUCUCGAGUGUGAGCCGUCUCUUCGAAUGACUCCAAGGAAAAGUGUGGAACCGCGGGUGUGUUCCCAAAUAAAAAUCCUUCUCCCUUCGUCCCCAUUGCUUCCAGAAGAACCUUCUUCUCUUCGAUCCUUUCUCACCUCCAGCUAUUGGCGUCGGCGCUCAACGAUACCGCAGUAACUGUUGACACAGAGCCCGAUGCGGAGGCCCCGUCUCUCCCGGCCGAGGAAGUACCCGGUCAAGGUGCAUGCCGGUGGCGCGGAGGUCAAGACGUGGCCGAAUUGAACAGGGAAUAAGGUGUCCAGCCUGGUUGUCAAGACGUUAGGCGAGGAGACAAGGGCUCGCGUUUGGAUUUUUGAAGGACCCAUGGGCAUCCAUCAUCGUCCUAUAAGAAUUGCUGAGAUACAAGGUCAAUCAUUUGAAGGUCCCAAAAGCCCUUGAAGCAAUAGCCGGGCAGCUAAGGAUGUUUUUGUUUGAUUGGACUUCCUUUGUUCGGAAAGAGUUUGAUGCAUUUGGUGAAAACACUAUUUAUGAGCCAAUACAAUAGUCUACUAUGAGCAGUGGCAAUGGUAUUCCUCUGAAACAAGAUUCUUUUUUCUCUUGAUUGUGAAUACCAUGAGCCAAUGCAUUGUAUUGGUAUUAUAUUGGUAGGAUCCUAACCUUUGGUAGACAUUCUUCAGCACUCUGGCGCACCAGUUGUGUCUUGGUGGUAGUCGAUCCUGCUCUGGUCCCUUACUGCAUGUUUGAUACAUGAAUAGUAAUAUCUUGCUGCAUGAUUUUAUUUUUUUAGUAGAUAUAUGUUGACAAGUUUGUGUGCAGCACUGUACCUUUUAUUUCUUUAGUUGUGGAGAACCUGAGAAGAUAUUAGACUAAAUCUUUUGCUUAUUCAACAAGCUAUGGAGCAUGUUGAUGGUAGAAUCUUAACCAUUGACCAUUUGCUUUGUGAGGCAUAAUAUAUGGACUUUUUAGCAAAUGGGUAAUGACCUUAGAAUUAUCAAAUCAUGUGAAUACUGAAUUUUUAUUUGCAUACACCAGAUGUGCAUAGAUUUUCCAUACCAUACAUUUUGUUGAACAUGAAGGUGCCUAAUGUGUAAGCAUGUGAUCUCAUGCACUCUACCUCAUUUUUAGAUGAGGCAAAAGAUGCUGUGAUCGAGUAGCCCUAGCAUAUUCAAGAACCUUCAUUGCUUCCGAGAUGUUGGCCAUUGGUGUUAUGGAAUCGCA